UAGAAACAAAAGGAACAUAACUACUCACCCCCUACCCAAAUUCAAAAGAUUCUCUGAAAUUUGUCAUAUGCUUAUUUAAGUGUCCCUAAAAACAGAGAGCUAUGGUUCUGCUCGUUUCUGUUUAAAUCUCCUAGUUUUGCCUUAAGCCAUGAAGUUAACCUCAGAGCAGAGCCUCUCUCCAGUCCCUGCUCCCCAAAUGAAAACCAUGUGCUUUUGUGGGUUUUCUUUGUUUUUCUUUUUAAAGAUCUUCUCCAUUAUUUAAGGAAGUUAUUCCAUAAUACACAGGUCUUCAAUAAUAGAGUUCACACUGGCUUUUAUCAAUUAAGUCACAAAUAGUUGUUCUCAGAAGCAAAUUUAACUCUAGACAUUUUUAAAGCUGAUUGUAACACCCUGGAAAAACUAGAAACUUCUUGCGCGUUAGCCAAGUCAAACUGUACAAGACAAUACGUGGAAAUAUGUGGAUGAAACACUUAAUAAUACUUGCACAGUUCUUAGCCAUACUUUUCUCCUUCCAUGAAGGCAAUUAAUCAGUCUGAACUCCCACGCUGGGUAGUGCCACUUCUGACCCUGGUUUAAAUGUAGAAAUAUGUAAUUCAUACUGAAGUUCUAUCAUGUUCCUAAAACUCAGCUGCAAAUCACAGGUCAGUACACAGAGUGAAUGUGGUUUCUCUGCCCUCCACUUGCCAGGAGUUAAGGUUGUAUACGGGAAAAAAAAAAAAUUGUAAGGGUGUGACUUGGAUUAUAAAAAUCACACUUUUAAUUCUACUGAAACAUUAUUUAAAAAAAUAAACUCUCUCCUUUGCUCUUAAAAUAGACCAAAUUUGUACAGAUAGGGCAUUAUUGAACGAUCUAUUCAUUUCAGUUACACAACAGGGAAUGAGCUGUUAUGGUCAGUGCAGCAAACACAGCAAAGGUAUUGAUGCGGGGUGGGAUUGGAAGUUUUGCUGCUGUGACCUCAUCUGUACAAUUGCAGAAGAACAUCUAGCCUGUCUCUGCUACCUUCUUAAAGUCCCCUCUCCUGUUCCCUGGCAUCCCAUCUCCCUUCCUUGAGGAACCCAGUGUCUUCCACUACAGGACGGAAGGAAUGUCACCCAAAGCAUACUCCAUCCAUCAGCUGCCCUUGUUUUCCAUAAAACAAACGUACAAACAAAAGAGCUCAAUGUGUCUAAAACUGAGUUUACCUUUGCCCCUCCUCCUGUGGUUUCUAUCUCAGUGAAUGGGCACAAGCAUCUACCAAGCAUAAAAGCUACAAAAAGAAGAAUCAUCCCAGACUUCUCCCUGUCUUUACCUGCAUAUUCAGUCAGUUGCUGAGUCCUAAUUCCACCUCCUCUUCCUAUCUUCUGACUCCUUUUCUGUUUUCCCAGACUUGUCUUUUGACAUCCUCCCUCACAUCUCCUGCCAUAUGCUUGUUAAGCUGUUCCCAGUCCCUGUACCCCCAACUCUGUAUCAGCCAAGUGAUUCUUCACAUACCACUUUCCUGUGGUUUUUCGCCCUCCCCUGUUUCCUCUUGGACCAUAGUUUUCUUUGUUCUCCUAUUGCACCCUCCCCUCCAUCAGGAAAGUAAGGAUUGGAUUUUGUAGCACUUGUUAUUGACUUAUCUUUCUUCCUCACUAGCUGGCGUUCUGAAGUCAGAGACAUCUUCCUAUUUCUCUGCCUGUCUUUAGUGCUGAGCACAGACAAGCUGCUUAUUAAGUGGUAGGUGAGUGCAUUGCUGGACUUGGGCAUUAUAAAAGAGGAACUUGUGAAGUCAGUUGAUGAGCUGGGUGGGGAACAUGUUCCUGACUUUAACAUAUUGUUUGACCCUGGUGGGCUGCCAGUAAAUUCCUGUGGAAUUCUGUUGAAUACUGAAGCAGGAAGGCUUUCCCGCCCUGCACAGUCCUCCUUCCUCCCUGAUUCUAUCAGGUCAGAAGAGUGGUCAUCAUUAGUGAAGUUAUACUAGGUUUCAGUUUGUUGGGUCCUGUUACAUAUAACGUGACUGAGCAGUAAUAAGUCAGGGAGCCCAAAUGGCUGGUUGACGUUUAACCUGUUCAACUGUCAUCUCUGCAGAAGGUCCAAACAGUUACUUCAAAACUUUAACUCAUUCCAAAGUCUACUUCUGUUUAACAAAUUCAAUUACUGAAUCUAUGGUUAUCUAUUAAAUGCUGGUUGUGUUUAAAGGGAUUAGUAAUAUUUAAACAGAAUAAGCUUUAAAUAUGUGACACAAAAUAACUAUUCAAUAAACAUCACUAGAGUAAUUGGCUAAUCAUUUGUGAAAAGAGUAAUUUUUUAGUAUUUCAAUGUAAUAUAUAACAAGGAGAAAACUAAGGUAAGUGUUUUUCACAGAAAAUCAGAGAAAUCAUGGACAUGAAGCCAAUGAAGAAAGCAGCUCACUAGUUCAGCUAAAAGCAGGCUCUUGUUACACACGACCAGGAAAGAUUAGGCUCGCGGACACAUAGAAGGGUGAAGAAAAUGGAAUUUAUUGGGCGAAGAGGAAAAAGGAAAAUGAACUCUUAGCAAAGCAAGAAAGGGUCCUGCUAGCAGGUUUUCUGCCUCACAGAUUGAAUCCCAGGUCACCAUACAGCUGAAGAGAGCAUGCUCCUCCCCUGCAUAAGACUCUAACCUCUGCAAGCAAAUCCAACAAAAUCUUGUGAGAAAUUUCAGAAACAAUGUUUGAGAAGAAACCCGGGACUUAAAAAUGAACAAGUAUGCAGUGUAAGCUGACCUUGAGUGUCACAUUUUAACAUCUGUUUUUCAUGUUGUGAUACUUAUUUGAGAUUUGGUAUUAUUAAGUAAUGAGGAAAAUAUCUUACUGUUUCCAUAGGUAACGGGGCAGUAACUUGAGGCUGAUGGAUUGGCAUGCUUUGUCUGUAUAAUGUAAUUCAAAUAAAGUCAUAACAUUUUGGCUAUGG